rnacentral:rRNA from 1 species
GUGGAUAACCUACCUAUAAGACUGGGAUAACUUCGGGAAACCGGAGCUAAUACCGGAUAAUAUUUUGAACCGCAUGGUUCAAAAGUGAAAGACGGUCUUGCUGUCACUUAUAGAUGGAUCCGCGCUGCAUUAGCUAGUUGGUAAGGUAACGGCUUACCAAGGCAACGAUGCAUAGCCGACCUGAGAGGGUGAUCGGCCACACUGGAACUGAGACACGGUCCAGACUCCUACGGGAGGCAGCAGUAGGGAAUCUUCCGCAAUGGGCGAAAGCCUGACGGAGCAACGCCGCGUGAGUGAUGAAGGUCUUCGGAUCGUAAAACUCUGUUAUUAGGGAAGAACAUAUGUGUAAGUAACUGUGCACAUCUUGACGGUACCUAAUCAGAAAGCCACGGCUAACUACGUGCCAGCAGCCGCGGUAAUACGUAGGUGGCAAGCGUUAUCCGGAAUUAUUGGGCGUAAAGCGCGCGUAGGCGGUUUUUUAAGUCUGAUGUGAAAGCCCACGGCUCAACCGUGGAGGGUCAUUGGAAACUGGAAAACUUGAGUGCAGAAGAGGAAAGUGGAAUUCCAUGUGUAGCGGUGAAAUGCGCAGAGAUAUGGAGGAACACCAGUGGCGAAGGCGACUUUCUGGUCUGUAACUGACGCUGAUGUGCGAAAGCGUGGGGAUCAAACAGGAUUAGAUACCCUGGUAGUCCACGCCGUAAACGAUGAGUGCUAAGUGUUAGGGGGUUUCCGCCCCUUAGUGCUGCAGCUAACGCAUUAAGCACUCCGCCUGGGGAGUACGACCGCAAGGUUGAAACUCAAAGGAAUUGACGGGGACCCGCACAAGCGGUGGAGCAUGUGGUUUAAUUCGAAGCAACGCGAAGAACCUUACCAAAUCUUGACAUCCUUUGACAACUCUAGAGAUAGAGCUUUCCCCUUCGGGGGACAAAGUGACAGGUGGUGCAUGGUUGUCGUCAGCUCGUGUCGUGAGAUGUUGGGUUAAGUCCCGCAACGAGCGCAACCCUUAAGCUUAGUUGCCAUCAUUAAGUUGGGCACUCUAAGUUGACUGCCGGUGACAAACCGGAGGAAGGUGGGGAUGACGUCAAAUCAUCAUGCCCCUUAUGAUUUGGGCUACACACGUGCUACAAUGGACAAUACAAAGGGCAGCGAAACCGCGAGGUCAAGCAAAUCCCAUAAAGUUGUUCUCAGUUCGGAUUGUAGUCUGCAACUCGACUACAUGAAGCUGGAAUCGCUAGUAAUCGUAGAUCAGCAUGCUACGGUGAAUACGUUCCCGGGUCUUGUACACACCGCCCGUCACACCACGAGAGUUUGUAACACCCGAAGCCGGUGGAGUAACCUUUUAGGAGCUAGCCGUCGAAGGUGGGACAAAUGAUUGGGGUGAAGUCGUAACAAGGUAGCCGUAUCGGAAGGUGCGGCUG